rnacentral:rRNA from 1 species
GAUGAACGCUGGCGGCGUGCCUAAUACAUGCAAGUCGAGCGAACAGACGAGGAGCUUGCUCCUCUGACGUUAGCGGCGGACGGGUGAGUAACACGUGGAUAACCUACCUAUAAGACUGGGAUAACUUCGGGAAACCGGAGCUAAUACCGGAUAAUAUAUUGAACCGCAUGGUUCAAUAGUGAAAGACGGUUUUGCUGUCACUUAUAGAUGGAUCCGCGCCGCAUUAGCUAGUUGGUAAGGUAACGGCUUACCAAGGCAACGAUGAGUAGCCGACCUGAGAGGGGGAUCAGACACACGUGAAACAAGAAGAGGGCCCGAACCCAAAGAGAGGCAACAAUUGGGAAACUUCCGCAAAGGGGGGAAAACGGAAGGAGAAACGGCGCGGGAGGGGAGAAGGUGUUCGGAUCAUAAAAAUGUGUUAUUAGGGGAGAAAAAAAAUGUAAAGAAUAAUGAGCCUCUUAAAGGUGCCAAAUAAGAAAGACGCAGCUAAAAACGUG